rnacentral:tRNA from 1 species
GGUGAGGUGGCUGAGCGGCUGAAAGCGCACGACUGGAACUCGUGUAUACGUUAAUCGCGUAUCGAGGGUUCAAAUCCCUCCCUCACCG